rnacentral:misc_RNA from 1 species
GAUGAAGAACGCAGCGAAAUGCGAUAAGUAGUGUGAAUUGCAGAAUUCAGUGAAUCAUCGAAUCUUUGAACGCACAUUGCGCCCGCCAGUACUCUGGCGGGCAUGCCUGUCCGAGCGUCAUUUCAACCCUCGAGCCCCUCCGGGGGGUCGGCGUUGGGGAUCGGCCCUCCCUCGCGGGGGCCGGCCCCGAAAUCCAGUGGCGGUCUCGCCGCAGCCUCUCAUGCGCAGUAGUUUGCACAACUCGCACCGGGAGCGCGGCGGGCCCAUGCCGUGAAACAGCCCAACCUUCUGAAAUGUUGACCUCGGAUCAGGUAGGAAUACCCGCUGAACUUAAGCAUAUCAAUAAGCGGAGGA